UACGAAGGGGGCUAGCGUUGCUCGGAAUCACUGGGCGUAAAGGGCGCGUAGGCGGCCAUUCAAGUCGGGGGUGAAAGCCUGUGGCUCAACCACAGAAUUGCCUUCGAUACUGUUUGGCUUGAGACCGGAAGAGGUAAGUGGAACUGCGAGUGUAGAGGUGAAAUUCGUAGAUAUUCGCAAGAACACCAGUGGCGAAGGCGGCUUACUGGUCCGGUUCUGACGCUCAUGCACGAAAGCGUGGGGAGCAAACAGG
rnacentral:rRNA from 1 species